GUCAUCAUAGCUUAGUGGUUUGAGUGUUGGACUACAACUCUGGAGACCAGGGUUCGAGUCCCAGCUCAGCCA